AUUGAACGCUGGCGGCAGGCUUAACACAUGCAAGUCGAGCGGGGUGAUGGUGCUUGCACUAUCACUUAGCGGCGGACGGGUGAGUAAUGCUUAGGAAUCUGCCUAUUAGUGGGGGACAACAUCUCGAAAGGGAUGCUAAUACCGCAUACGUCCUACGGGAGAAAGCAGGGGAUCACUUGUGACCUUGCGCUAAUAGAUGAGCCUAAGUCGGAUUAGCUAGUUGGUGGGGUAAAGGCCUACCAAGGCGACGAUCUGUAGCGGGUCUGAGAGGAUGAUCCGCCACCCUGGGACUGAGACACGGCCCAGACUCCUCCGGGAGGCAGCAGUGGGGAAUAUUGGACAAUGGGGGGAACCCUGAUCCAGCCAUGCCGCGUGUGUGAAGAAGGCCUUAUGGUUGUAAAGCACUUUAAGCGAGGAGGAGGCUCUUUUGGUUAAUACCCAAGAUGAGUGGACGUUACUCGCAGAAUAAGCACCGGCUAACUCUGUGCCAGCAGCCGCCGUAA
rnacentral:rRNA from 1 species